rnacentral:rRNA from 1 species
GCAUAUCAAUAAGUGGAGGAAAAAAAUAGUAACAAGGAUUCCCCUAGUAACGGCGAGUGAAGAGGGAAGAGCCCAAGAUUGAAAGCUGGCGCCUUCGGCGUCCGCAUUGUAAUCUCAAGAAGUGUUUUCCGCUUCGGACCAUGCCUAAGUCCCUUGGAAAAGGGCAUCAUAGAGGGUGAUAAUCCCGUACAUGGCAUGGAGCGCCCGAAGCUUUGUGAUACGCUUUCUAAGAGUCGAGUUGUUUGGGAAUGCAGCUCAAAAUGGGUGGUAAAUGCCAUCUAAGGCUAAAUAUUGGGGAGAGACCGAUAGCGAACAAGUACAGUGAUGGAAAGAUGAAAAGAACUUUGAAAAGAGAGUUAAACAGUACGUGAAAUUGCCAAAAGGGAAGGGUAGGAGGUCAGAGAUGCGUCGCAGGAUUCAGCCUUGCUUUUGCUUGGUGUUUUUCCUGCGUUGCAGGCCAACGUCGGUUUUGGGCACUGGAGAAGGGUAGGAGGAACGUGGCACCUCUCGGGGUGUGUUAUAGCCUCCUACUGGAUACAGCGACCGAGACCGAGGAACGCAGCGUACUCGUAAGAGCGGGCCUUUUGGCACCUUUACGCUUAGGGCGUUGGCAUAAUGGCCCUCUACCACCCGUCUUGAAACACGGACCAA